ACUUAUCUUGACUCAUUACUAGUUAAUAAUGGAAUGAUUACGAGAUUAAUUUGUGUCAAUUAUUAAUACAAGAAUUACAUAUAUGAAGAUUAAGCCGAACAACAUCCAUUUUAGACUGCAUUUUAGACAUGCAAAAUAAAUCGCCACCGAACCCUAACAAUACUAUCCCGCGAAGGGAAAACCAAGGCUACACUUUUAGAUUGCUUCAUAAAAAAUUUGACAUCAUCAUCGUC
rnacentral:lncRNA from 1 species